GCGAACAGACGGGGAGCUUGCUCCCCCGACGUUAGCGGCGGACGGGUGAGUAACACGUGGGUAACCUACCUAUAAGACUGGAAUAACUCCGGGAAACCGGGGCUAAUGCCGGAUAACAUGUUGGACUGCAUGGUCCUACAGUGAAAGACGGUCUUGCUGUCACUUAUAGAUGGACCCGCGCCGUAUUAGCUAGUUGGUAAGGUAACGGCUUACCAAGGCAACGAUACGUAGCCGACCUGAGAGGGUGAUCGGCCACACUGGAACUGAGACACGGUCCAGACUCCUACGGGAGGCAGCAGUAGGGAAUCUUCCGCAAUGGGCGAAAGCCUGACGGAGCAACGCCGCGUGAGUGAUGAAGGCCUUCGGGUCGUAAAACUCUGUUAUUAGGGAAGAACAAAUGUGUAAGUAACUAUGCACGUCUUGACGGUACCUAAUCAGAAAGCCACGGCUAACUACGUGCCAGCAGCCGCGGUAAUACGUAGGUGGCAAGCGUUAUCCGGAAUUAUUGGGCGUAAAGCGCGCGUAGGCGGUUUCUUAAGUCUGAUGUGAAAGCCCACGGCUCAACCGUGGAGGGUCACUGCGAAACCUGGGAAACUUGACGUGCAGGAGAGGAAAGUGGAAUUCCAUGUGUAGCGGUGAAAUGCGCAGAGAUAUGGAGGAACACCAGUGGCGAAGGCGACUUUCUGGUCUGCAACUGACGCUGAUGUGCGAAAGCGUGGGGAUCAAACAGGAUUAGAUAUCCUGGUAGUCCACGCCGUAAACGAUGAGUGCUAAGUGUUAGGGGGUUUCCGCCCCUUAGUGCUGCAGCUAACGCAUUAA
rnacentral:rRNA from 1 species